CUCUCUCCCCCAACUCUCACCCCCGACACCCUCACCCCCAACUCUGUCUUCUAACGGGACUGGUCGUGUUAAAGGUUUCACUCUCUUCAGACGGCACCUGUGUACGAAUCGUCUGUGAAGUUUGUUAACCAGCUGAUUUCUGGAUGAAUAGUUUAUAAGACCUUUUUAAGACAGUAUUAAACCACUAACUAACCUAACGCCCGUUGACUCAGCUCGAAAUAAGUUCCCGUCUGUCAUCUAAUUCUGACCCACCAGGAGGUUAUGAAUAGAAGUUCAGUGUUAACAAGUUGUGAUGUGAAGUUGAUACUGCGUUAUGUUCGUCUCUCGAGUUAUUAAGGACAACACAUGACUACAGUCGUCCUAGAAACCAUAGCAACUAGAAGACCUGCUCCCGUUUUAAACCUGCUUCUGUCGAUUGUCGCUGUGCACUUAAAUAAACUGCUUAAUAGAUGUGACGAGGUGAAACCUAGGAGUUAAAAGCAUGGACCAAUCGAAGCGCAUGUAGUGAAAAUCAACACGCAUGUAGUGAAAAUCCCCACGCAUGCUUGUGUUAAAUCACUGGUGUUUUGCAUGCCUUGUGAUGUGAAUAUUUAAUGUUAUAUCUGUGACACUCCAAGAUGAAUAAAAGCCGUAACUGGCAUCAAGAAGUGUCUUAAGGUGGAGCCAUUUGAAAUAAAAUGCUUUUGGUUACAGAAACUAGAAAGUUAUAAGUCUUGUAUUUUUUUCUUAAAGAUAUGCCAUCUAUUUGGAGUUGAACAUUUAGUAAUUUUGCAGAAUCAUUUAUCCAAAGAAAACAAACAGUAGAUAUAAGGGAUAGUUUGCUGGUCAAAACUUAAGGUAGGUCUACUUAAAGAAGCAGAGUUGAAAAAUUAAACUGUCAAACCAGGUACAUCUUUUAACCAGCGAUGACCGACCACCGCCGCAAGAUGUCACCACAGAGCAAGUUCAAAAUAAGUCCGUUAAUAUUCGGCUAAUUAACAAUAUAACUUGAUUCCAUUCAGAGUCUUUAGUCCACUUAUCAAAACGGCACCGUUCAUAUAAUAUAUAUUCAUUCCUCAAAACAUACUUUAAUAUUUAAUGCUACAUUAUCGUUUAUUUGUAUAAAAGUGCAACGCAGGCCACCCCUGCAGCAGGCCAGUAAUGUUCAGUUAGUCCCAAUAAAACCAGUAGAAUACAGAAACCAGUUACAGGUCCGGAGCCGGAGGGGACCAACGUUACGCCGGUUUAGAGUCUGGCGCGUCCUGUACGGUCCAAGGUGGGUCCAACUGACUCCCGGUGGAGAACAGCGGUCCGCUGGACCACCUAACCCACUAACGUCGGAUCAGCACCCGCCCCGGGGGGCCUGUAGUCCCGCCUCCCUGGUGGAGCAGGCCCGCCAGUCGGGUCGGAGGUCAGGGUUCCAACUUCUGGAUGAGACGUGAGGAG
ensembl:lncRNA